rnacentral:rRNA from 1 species
CACCAGACUCCUACGGGAGGCAGCAGUGGGGAAUAUUGCACAAUGGGGGAAACCCUGAUGCAGCAACGCCGCGUGAGUGAAGAAGUAUUUCGGUAUGUAAAGCUCUAUCAGCAGGGAAGGAGAUGACGGUACCUGAUUAAGAAGCCCCGGCUAACUACGUGCCAGCAGCCGCGGUAAUACGUAGGGGGCAAGCGUUAUCCGGAUUUACUGGGUGUAAAGGGAGCGCAGACGGCAGUGCAAGUCUGGAGUGAAAGCCCGGGGCCCAACCCCGGAACUGCUUUGGAAACUGUGCGGCUGGAGUGCAGGAGGGGUAAGCGGAAUUCCUAGUGUAGCGGUGAAAUGCGUAGAUAUUAGGAGGAACACCAGUGGCGAAGGCGGCUUACUGGACUGUAACUGACGUUGAGGCUCGAAAGCGUGGGGAGCAAACAGGAUUAGAUACCCCAGUAC